AUCAUAAUAGUUUGCCUUUUAAUUGGAGGCUGGAAUGAAUGGAUAUACGAAGUUAAGGCUGUCUCUUUUUUAUAUAUGGAAAUUGGUUUUUAGGUGAAGAAACCUAUAUUGUAAUGAAGGACAAAAAGACCCUAUUGAGCUUUAUUUUUAUAAGAUUUGUUAUAUUUAAACUUUAGUAAAUUUGGUUGGGGCAACAAAAGAAUAUUUAAAUCUUCUUUUAUAUUUGGGAAUUAUUGUUCUUUUAAAAGAUCUAUUUUUAUAAUAUGAAGAAAAAGUUACCAUAGGGAUAACAGGCUAAUUCUUUUGGAGAGUUCAUAUUGAUAAGAGAGUUUGGCACCUCGAUGUUGGCUUAGAAU
rnacentral:rRNA from 1 species